rnacentral:rRNA from 1 species
AACGAACGCUGGCGGCAGGCCUAACACAUGCAAGUCGAGCGGAUGAGGAAAGCUUGCUUUUCGAUUCAGCGGCGGACGGGUGAGUAAUGCCUAGGAAUCUGCCUGUUAGUGGGGGAUAACUCGGGGAAACUCGGGCUAAUACCGCAUACGUCCUACGGGAGAAAGUGGGGGAUCUUCGGACCUCACGCUAACAGAUGAGCCUAGGUCGGAUUAGCUAGUAGGUGAGGUAAUGGCUCACCUAGGCGACGAUCCGUAACUGGUCUGAGAGGAUGAUCAGUCACACUGGAACUGAGACACGGUCCAGACUCCUACGGGAGGCAGCAGUGGGGAAUAUUGGACAAUGGGCGAAAGCCUGAUCCAGCCAUGCCGCGUGUGUGAAGAAGGUCUUCGGAUUGUAAAGCACUUUAAGUUGGGAGGAAGGGUAUUCACCUAAUACGUGGGUACUUUGACGUUACCAACAGAAUAAGCACCGGCUAACUCUGUGCCAGCAGCCGCCGUAACAC